UUUUGUUCAUCUAUGUUAUUGCGUUCAUCUUCUUCUUCUGCAGUUUUCAAUCUAUUUUUCUUUUAAAAUUAAAUUCCUGAUACUUAUGGAACCAGGUCCAUCUUAUAGUCUUGGUCUUACCGAACUAAUUCCUCAACAACAAAAAAAUGUUUUUUUCUGGAUCUAAUUCAAGUGGUGAUGGUUAUGAUGAAAUCAGAUCCAAACACUGCAAUGAUCCUUUAGUUAUGGAAAAAUUGCGUGAAAGGAUCCUGGUGCAAAAAUGAAAGUAACUCCAGUUGCACAACCCAAAAAAAAGUAAAAAAACAUUACAUGAGUUGGAACACGCCCUUCUCUACCUAAGGAUUUGAAGUUUGUAGUAAAACAAAUUCCAUCUCUCUCUCUCUCUCAGAUUUGGUACAUUUUACAACACAUCCUUUGCUAAGGAAAUUAAAUCGUCAAUAGGAGAAGAAGAAAUUAAGUUAUUCAGGCAAAUAAUUUUUUGUCCUUACCUGAAUAUGCCAAAGUGUAAUUUUUAAGGACAAAUCAUCAAGUGUCUCUAUUUGCUUGAGUUGAAUCAAAAAGAUCUCAAUGAAUUACAUGUUCAUUUUUUCAUUAAAGAAUUCGUGAUGAUCCACCGAAGCCCAAGGGGGAUUUCAUACCCCUUGCUAAAGAAGACUUGGUUAAUGUAGACUAGUUAUGUAGCUGGUAGCAGUAAACUUUAGUUUUUGUAUCAAACAGUUUUUAUGUAAGUACUAUUGUUCUUUAGUUGACAUGUUAUGUUAAUUUCUACCUUUUAUUCAAUUUAUGUUAUUUUA